UGGGGAAUUUUGGACAAUGGACGCAAGUCUGAUCCAGCAAUGCCGCGUGCAGGACGAAGGCCUUCGGGUUGUAAACUGCUUUUGUACGGAACGAAACGGUCUUCUUUAAUACAGAGGGCUAAUGACGGUACCGUAAGAAUAAGCACCGGCUAACUACGUGCCAGCAGCCGCGGUAAUACGUAGGGUGCGAGCGUUAAUCGGAAUUACUGGGCGUAAAGCGUGCGCAGGCGGUUAUAUAAGUCAGAUGUG
rnacentral:rRNA from 1 species